CCUGCGCUCUGUGUGCUGCACAAAGGAAACAGAUCAAACAGAGGCAAACAAUUGCCAUCUGCAGUCUAGAAAAUCUGAUCCAUAACAAAAGAUGAAUAUGCAUGAAAAGAUUGAGGAAGUUACUGUAUGGGGACUGUUGAGUCACGGUCUGAAUUGAUGGAGCACCUGGGGAAAGGACCCGGUCAGCCCUGGGAGCACAGGUGAAGGCAAUUCAGCUGUGUGAGCAGAAGGGCUGCAGCCUGGCUGCACCUCUCUUAGACCUCAUUUAAGGGCUGACUGCCACUGGGGAAGGAUUUCUGGUUGGAGAUCCCUCCUGUGUGGAGUUUUCCCUGUGAGCCUGGAUCUUCAGAGAUGGGAGAGGCCAGUAGUUUGGUGGUUACAUGAAGUGGGAACACACCACCCAUUCAGCCUACUCUACACGAGUAGUACGAUGGUGAGUUGUCAGAAGGACCUGGAGAGUCUGAGGCAAUCUGAGAAGAAACACAGACUGUUCAGAAAAGCCCACGCAUCUGUCUAGAAUAGAUGCAGAAAGAUGCAGAAUUGUGUCUCCACUGAAAACAAAAAAAAAAGGGGUCUGUCGCAAGAAAAACUGAAUCAAAUUCUCCAGGAGUUUUUCAGUACAAUUAAGCUGUAGGAUAGUCCAUAUCAUAGGUGCAAAUCUCUCUGUUCAUUAUAGGACAGCUGACAAGGAUAUGGCAAAAGGUAAAACCAGGAAUUAUGUCUUUAAGGGCUCAUUGUAAUCUAAUUUUAUUGGUGGUACCCUCCCCAACAUAAUGAACUUUGAUGAAAUAAUGAAGUAGUUGUGGCGCCUGUGAAACUGAGCAGGCAGCUCUGCCAGUUAAAGACCUCCCAUGAACACAAUCACCCAGGCAACAACUCUGGGCUGCAGUGAAGCCAGAAACUGGCAAGUCAGCUCUUCCAUCUCUUAGCUCCUUGCAAUUCUGCUUUCUGAGACUUGGGGAAAGAAAAAAGAAAUAAAAAAGAGAGGGAGAAGAUGAAGAAGAAGAAAAAAAGAUCAUCCACUUACAUCUGUGGUUGAAGGAUAUAGCUUAAAAAAAAUAAAUUCUGUCAGAAUCCACUGAGUUGUUUAAAAUGACUCCAAGUUCGGCAGCCAGCAGAGUUACAGAAACCAUAAGGCUGGCUCUGCCACUGAAUAAGUUCAAAUAUCUAAGGAAAUGAAUACAAGGAAGACUUUAAAUAGCAAUAUUUUUAAUUCGGCAAGAUUUCCACCCCCUGCUAGACUUGGAGAGAGUGCAACAGAUGGUUACAGGAAUCUGUGAAUUUAUCAUUGUUAUUUUUAAGAAGUUGGAUCUGUGGAACACAAACAUUUAAUAAUGGAUAUAAUUAAAUUCUUUGCUAGUUAGUUUGACUCGAGUCAAUUGGCACUGUAAUGCCAUUUCAUUUACAUAAAAUGUAUAGUAAUUGUGGUUCAGAGAACUGUGAUUUUACAGAGCUGGAACUACAGAUGGAAUAAAGAUAAAAGAAAUCAGAGUUAACAACACCCCUAUGAUCUCAGAUAAUGUCUCAUAUUUGGAGUUUAGGUAUUCAAACUCUAAUCUCUAUAAUCAAACUCAGGUCCAAAUCAGCUAGAAACACAAGCAUUUUCAGUGUGACUAAUGACUUUGGGCACUCCAAUUUCCAGAUGAUUAAAUGAUGAUGUUUUCAAGUGACCUGAUUUUGAUAGUUGUUAUUAAAGCAAUUCUGAAAAUUAGACUCCCCUAGUGGUGGAAACCCCAUGGCAUCAAUGAAUUACAUGGAAUUUCUGCCACCAUGACGAUGAACUUUUCUAAGAACUGAUGACCACGUUUUCAGUAAGAACAAAGCUACCUUUGAAAGCUUUACCUGAAGUUGAUCCUGAUGCUUAAUCUGAAAAUCAUCUAACUGGUCUAUCUCUACACACAAAUUCUUAUUUUGUUUGAAACUGUAGCACCUCCCUGUUUGUUUUUUUAAACAAACAUCGACUUAUUUUAAGUCAAUAAGGCUGAUGAAAGCUGAAUGUAAUUGCUUAUUGGUAGGAAUUUUUAUUUUGAAAGCAGCUGUCUUUAAGAGGCUGCUUCUCAGUGACUCUUGAGAUAUCAGCUUCUGAAAGUAGACAAAUACAAAUUGGAGUAAAAUCACAACCAGGCUUACUGGGAAUGUUCAGCGUAUCAAUCCCCAUUAGAGCUUCUCAGGUUCUGGGUCUUCCUGAGGCCGCAGUCUUGUGUUCAUCGAUAAACGUGACAGUCACUCCCACACAAAGGUUUGGAAGCCUUUCAAGGGAUUAAAUCAUCCUUCUUCCACUCAGUAGAAGGUUCAGCCAUAUCAAUGUGCGUAUAAAUACUACUAUGUGAGUAUGCACAGGAUUGUAUGUGAGAUAGGAUACGGGUAUCCAGGAUUUGUGCCAUUCUACGAAGUUACAAAUUAGACCCAAGCUAACCAGAUUGUUAUGGAUAUGGGCCUAGUCAUUACACUGAUUUUGUGGUUACAGAGCAAGAGGUUGUGCCUUUUCAACAAUAUAUCUCUGAUUGCUCAUGAAGGCUUUUGGAUGAUUGUGGCAAUGGAUUACUGACUCAGUUUCUCGUUGCCUGCUUGUCAGAGAGAUCCAUUUCCUAUUUUUACUGGGACUACUCAAAUUGUCCAUCCAAAUUAAACGCAAAAGCAAAAUGUGCAGCUAUUGUGUAGGCUCUAAGCCAACGCUUGUCAGCAGUCAAUAGAGGAGCAGCUCCCAGAUGUCUCUUUUACCUGAAGAAACUAAAAGUACAUGGUGUCCUUUUAAUCUGGAAACAAAAGAGAACAAAGGCAAACAAAUGGAGACCAAAUUAUCUAGCCUUGAGAUCUGAAUUUACUCCAUAUUGAACUUCUGGUUCCUACCUAAUGAGCCCAUGCUGUUGCUCGCUAGUGAAUGAGAACAAAGAAAAGUGACUCAUGCUGCCUUGUUACUGUUACAUAAUCUAUACAAGUAAUUUAUUUUUAUGGUUAAUUACUGGAUUAGUAAGGUAUAUUGGAAAUGGAGAUGUGUAUAAUGGCAAGGAGAUGUGGCAGAAGGACUUACAGGAGAUUCAAAUGGUUGUCUGUAAAACUGUGCAAAAAAUAUCUGUCAGUACAUCAUGCAGGAAAAUCUCCAUAAAGCAUGACUGCUUUCAGGGUUGGUCAUUUGUGUUAACACCUCAAAGUGUGGCUGGAUUCCAUUCGGCCUCAGUAGGCCUUUGUCCUUACAUUAGUCUUUUUUUUUUUUUUUUUUUUUUUUUUUUUGCAGUGACAAAACUCCCUUUAUUUCACCUCGGUGAAUAACUUCUGCUCUUACCUGCUGGGGAAACCUGGAGUCAGUAUUUGUUCCUUCUCACAUGAUUACACAGGGCCAUUUCUAUAGCCUCGCAAAAUCCCUGCUGUAUUAAUCACCACAGAGCUGUGAGAAUAAGGGAUAUAAAUCUUCCAAACCACAGUCAAACUACUAGAGAUUGGUUUAUGUCAUUUACAGAAAGGUAGAAAUAAUAAUCAUUCUGAAGUGUCUGGAUGCAUCUAACUCUGUACUAGAUAUGCAAGUAUGCAUUUGAAGCUGCAACAAUCCUUUGGUCAUCAAAUGACCUAGAUUGGGAUUACAUGCUGAGGCAUCAGUCUAAUAUGAAAUUACUCCGUGUUUUUAUUGUAAUGACCAAUUAAGAAUCAGCACCUCAGAAACCUCAGGUAGCAGUUUUCCAUGAAAUAAACAUCGACCUUGAAAAUGUGCCCCUUCUGAAAUCCUAAUGCUGAUGUAUUCUGAAAGGGUCAGACCGUCACCAUGGUGUUGGCAGGAGUGAGUUGUGUUUGGCUGCCGAGUGCCAAUACAUCCUCCAUGCCAAAGAUUAGUUGUGAGCAGGGAAGUUGCUAGGAGCCGGGGGUAAACACAAAUGCUCCCUGCUUUCCUUACAGCUCUGCUUCAAAGUCCUGCAGCACGCUCAUGAAUGUACCCAAUGCUCCUCUUCCCUCCUUUAACAACAUGUGGUACAUGGGGUAAGGAGUCAUAUUGUGUUCUUUUGGGUCUUUUUAAAACAAAUUUUUAUUUAACCUCUGCUUUGACCCAGCACGUAAGUGUGUUGCCCAGAUAUGCUCCAUUUCAGUUUAUUUAACCAGAAUGUUUGCUUACUCAGUGACCACUGGAGGGGAACUACUGCUCUUAUUAAUUCCACAAUGGGUAUUUGUUGCUUCUUGUUUUCUGACAUUUUCUUUAUGACCCUAAUUGCAGAGUUCUUGUUUUCAGAUAAUAAAUGCACGUGUCUAUUUGCUCAGGCAUUAUGCAAUUGAUCUCCAGCUAUUAAUUAAAGAUCUAGACUCAAUGUCUCUGAACCUGCCUCCGGAUAUUUGUCCUUAUUGUGUCAUACCUUGGGUGCACAAACAGGGAAACCACUCACAGCACUGCAUGCACGCUGCUCGUUCUCUUUAAUUACAAAGUCUGAAUUCUAGAGCUCGCAAAGAAGGAAUUACACGGAGCAAAGAAUAUUUUUCUGAUGGGAUUUUUAUUCUUCCUUCUUUCACUGGGCUGCCAGCAUUUCUCCCAAGAUGCUGACCUGCAAGCAUAAUGAGAUGUUUGUGUUGUUCUCAGCAUUACAGACCAAAAGGGGUUUAUUUUUUCCUUUAUUGUUGCUGCUGUUAAUAGCAGGGCAAAAUUCAGCUGACAUUACGAAGAAGAUGAAGAUUUCACGGGUGAAAAGAGAAAUCUUUUUUUUCUUGGUUGCUUUUUCCUCCCAAGAGCCCAUUUAGGCAAAUACGUUAUAUGAUCCUGUGAACAAAUUGUUACUUUUCCAGACUGCUCUGUUUUCUGUGUAAACACUUCAAUGUAGCAGCGUACAAGAACAGCACUUUCAAUCCAAAACGCAUCAAAAAUAGACCUUCCAGAACAUUUGGAACUUGUUAGGCUCCAGAAGGAAAAAGGGAAGGAGAGACUGUGAAAAAAAGCUUUUCACCUCCUAACUGCUCUCUUUUUUAUAUUUCUUAAUGUUCUAAAAAUCCUACCGGAUUGCUAUGAAGCUUUUCAAAGCUCAGAACAGCAUGGGUCCCCAAAUAUAGCGAAGGCGCAGCUGAGAGAGGCAGAAAUUGUUUUCAGUCAAUUUAGUAAGAAGUCAUUACACUUGAAGAGAAAACCUAAUGAGCUUGGGAAGCCAGGAUUUGGUACCUACCCCUUUUAUACACUUCCUGUUCCCCUUAGGAAAAUCAUCCAGCCUCUUUGUGACUCAGUUUCCUCGCCGCCAAAUGAGAAUAGCAACACUUUCUGACCUCACAGGGAGUGCGUCUGAGAAGCAGUUGAGUACCUGGAGGGAAGGAGCUAAAAAAUAGACAUCUUUAGCACCAGCAGAUGCAGCGGGUGUACCUCACUGCAGCAAAUUUCCAGGUGAAGAGUCUUCUACUGGAAAAAUACUGAUUCAAUGCCACUGAAAUGCUUGGGGAAAAUAAAUGUUGUUUAAUACGUUAAAAAGUAGCAGUGGAUUUUGCUGUUGAGAUACAUCCAGGUUGGAUCUGUGCAGUUGGAAAUUACUUUAUCAGUUAAAAAAAACCAGUCAUGACAGUGUUGAUCUUAUCACAGCCAAGUUCUUCAGUGUUUUCACAUUUGAUGUUUCUACAACUUCUCUUUUGAAGUACUGCUUCACAGGAAAAAAAAUAAAUAAAGCUUAACAUUUUUUUUCUGGCCCUUGAAAAAAAAAAAAGACCAUCACUAACCCACAAAAAAAGAAUGAACUUUUGGUUCUUAUCUCUCUCAGUAGUCACAGCCACCCAAGGAUGUGCGGGAGCAUUAUCUGUACGCAAGCUAAAAUCCCCAGGAGUGCUGUCAGCAAUCUGCAGUGAGCACAUGUCAAAAUAAGAGAUUAGAAUUGCUGGUUUGGUUGCAAGCUCAAAACGCUCUUUUAUUUUAUUUUUUUUUAAUUUUAUUUUAUAUUUCCAUUCCCCCAACAAAUUAAAUCUUUUGCCUCCAGAGCUGUAGUGUUAUAGCUAUCAUCUCUUUAUGCAUUUGAGUUAUGAAUUGCAGGCAUCUCUGCCUGCUUCUUCUUAUAUUAAAAUGGGCUGCUGUAACCUCACUGUUCCAUACUAAGAAGAUAUGCAAUCCUUGUGAUACAGUAUCAUAGCAUUUUGGCAUCAUUUCAUCCUGCGUAAGAAAAUGAACGCUAUGAGAACGUUGGCAUAAUCUUUUGGCUUCACAGGCUUGGCUGCCGCAGGCUCAGCUUCUGAAGGUUUAAAAACUUUUAUCCCAGUUCAGAUAAUAUUGCCAAAACUUGGGUUGUCUUCUAUAGAAAAUAAUUGCUUGUCCAAGUCUUUACAGUCUCUAUGCUAGUUUAAUAACAAGUAAUUAGUUGAAUAAGUCCAAUUAAUGCCUUUGUACAGAUCUGAGAUUGGAGUAGGACUGUAGGUCAAGUUUCAUUUUAAAAUCCAUUAGAAUUUCUAUCACUCCGUACACACCCAGGGCAAAGCUAUUAUGGGCUUUCCCAUUAACACAUAUGAUUCAUUAUUUGGACUUGGAGCCCAGAUCUAACAAUGUAUGUAUUUAAAUCCCUAAAGCAUACCUAGAACAGUAGCAUUCACUGUGAUCAGGAGCUCCUUUUUUCACCUUUCUCUGACAGAUGUGCUAGACUCGGGGAUACCUGUGAAUGGCGGUGGAAAAAAGGUUAAAGCACACUUGUGCAUGUGGAACAGUGCUUUGAAACAAUACAUGUGAAUUUUACCUUAGAUGGUACUUCACAGAAGAACCAUAAAGUUUCAGUGGGCAAACUUCCCCACUGGAUCCACACCUAAGCAGUGCUCCGUUUUUCAACAAGCUGUACUUCAGUUUCACGUACUGUUGAUGUUCAUGCAUUCUAAUGGGUGACUGUUGCUCCUUGCUUUGACAAACUUCACCUCAGCUCUUGGCUCCUGCUUUGACAGUGCACAAGCAGGGAGAGCAGCUUGUACAGCUUUCUCACUGAAAAGCAACAUUUGCUUUUGAGAUUAACGGGCUGAGCUAGGAAAAUUUCACAGCCCUCCAGACAAAAUGUUGUCAAGCCAUUAUAAGUACAAAAGGUUGUGUGUCUGUUUUGCAAGCCAACUCAUUUACUGAGUGUCAUUAGGAGCUCAUACACCUCCCUGUUGUGAUGUUCUCAUUAUUAAAUUAUAGAGGGUAUCACAGUAAUUUGAGAUGUGGACUUUAAGUGUCAUUUCUAUCCUCUCUCACUCCACUUGAUGGUCAGAGCUAUCUAUUCUUAUCACGCACAGACAAAUUUCCUCUGCUGUGGCUUUUCUGUGAAUGGUUAGAUUAAUUGCUGUCUAUCUUGAACCACUGUUACGUCUACUCAGAUAUUAAAAAGAAGUUUAAAUUUGAUUCUUUUUAUUUCAUUGGCACUCUGCACAGAGUUAAGAGUCAUAAUCCCAGUGGGAUUAGUGCUCACUAUGUCAGAUGCAGAUUUUGAAAAUUGUGAGAUGACAAUAAUAGUGAGAAUGAUAAUCAUAUGAACCGUUUCAAGCUACGGAGAUUCAAGAAAUAAUCAUCAUUGUGGUUUGAAUAUAGUAAGAAUUUCUUUUAUGACUUCAAGGUCAGUAUGAAACAGAAAUGUUAUGCAAAGUAAUGUAAAGAAAAAUAAGAUCAGAAGAUUAGCUCUAACUGUCAGAACAAAAGUUCAUUCAGCCCAAAUCCAGCAUCUUCAGAAAGCAGACAAAGAGAUAUCCUUCUCUUGUUACAUCCUCCCAGCUUUCAGGACCAGGUGAUACAAGGACUCUCUGGUCCAGAAAAGAUAACCGGACUCUUAAGAGCCACCGAUGGACUCAACCUACCAAAAAUGUGACAGUCUUUUAAACUCCUUUUUGCUUUUGGCCCCACAACUCCUUACAGCAGUACUCUCCAGAGUUCGCUGACAUGUAUUGUGAGCAAGCACGUCAAACACGUUCGUUGCUGUUUUGAAGAUUGCUGCCUGCAGAGUUUAGAAAUCAUCCCUUGAUUCUUAUGCUGAACAAAGAGAAACACAGUUUAUGUAAGGUAAACUGACAGCAAUCAUCUCAGUGGGUUAUUAUUGUUUGUGAUGCAUAAUUUAAAAGCCAGAUUUUCCAACAAUUUAUGGAUGCAAUUAUACAUCUAAUUUGCACAGUUAUUGCAGACACAUAUAAUAUCAGUUGCUUGCAUGUUCAGCUGGGCUAACGUAGGGCUGGAACAGCACUGAAUGAUCCUUUUGUACAUUUUUCCAGGGGAUUAUGCCACAUUUAGCAUAAUCUCUUCUAACAACAGUAAGUCAGCUCUCUAAUAGUUUCACACCAGAUGCAAACCACAUUGUUUUUCAAGGAACAAACAUCCAUUAUUGUCAAUGGACAUUGUUAUAGAAGAAAUCUUCUGACUUUGGAGCUUAGCAGAAAUGCAUACUGAUUUAAAAAAAUUAAACAGCAUGGAAAGACCAAGAUAUUCCUUUCAAAGCAUAGGUCACAGCAUAGUUACAACAUCUGACUUUUUUUGUUGGGGUUUUCAAGCUGACUUACUGCAUUAUACAGAAUGCAUAUGUAUAUCAUACAUAUAUAUGUAUAGAAUGUAUACUCAACAAGUUUUUACACAGCAAGGGCUUUGGCAAAUUGCUUUAGAGACCACAGCCUCUGAAGCAUGCAGGAGGCCAUGAUGCUGGACAGGCUUGUAAAUCCUUAUUUGUCACACACAGCACAGUAAAAAGAAGUGCUGCAAUUUGUGCUGUAAUCCUGCCCAAAGACAAGUCAGUAAUGGGGCCAAAGGUUUUUUUUUUUUUAAUAAAAAUGUCCACAAAAAUUCAGACAUUGACUCAUUUUCAGGAAUAUGCUUCUGGAAUUCAAGCUGAACUCAUCUGAGCCCUUAGCUUUGCUCACUGGUCCAUCAUAGAGUAGGAAACAAAGGGCUUCAGAGAGGAAUGGUCCCUCAAUUGCUGAAGAUAACUAAUUGGCCUAAUGGCAAAAAAUAAAACAAGAAACAAAUAGAAAAGAGCAAUUAUAACACUGCGGUGACUAGUCUUGUUGAUUAGACUUACUACUUUACACAGAGCAGCUAAACUGAAUUCUUCAUAAAAGAGACCAAACUGAAGUCUUUCCACUUAACUGUGUAUUACACUGAGUUAUGAGGAGAACCAUGAGUAUAAAUUAUCUACAAGAGUUUUUGUCUAGCUCCAUCGUGGUAACAGUAUGAUCACGUCAUACAGUAAGAUAUAAAUGACUCAUUUCAUUUCAUGGUAAGAUAAAUCCUGGAAGAAAUGGAAGCUUUACAAACUUGAGCCAUUCAUACGCAUUCACUUUGACUUCAUGGACUUUAAAACCUUUAAAAUAACUUUGAAGUGAGGUUAUUUAUAAAGAAAAACUACAAACAAAUUAAGUUAAAUUUACAAGGUAACACACAAUGGAUAUACAAAUAUCUGACCUGAAUGUUUGACAAAUGUAAUUCAAAUAACAAAUGAACAGUAUGGCACAAAAGGACAUAGUCACGAUUAUGGAGCUUAAAAAUAAGACUAUUUUUCCAAGCUUGUCUGCCUUCAAAGGUAUUUAAAACCUGAUUCUCCUCCAGCAUGUAUUAGUGUCAAUCAAAAUCUGCUCAGGUCAAUGGCUUUACACAAUUGCAAAAUUAGUAUAAGUGAGAGGACAAUCAGAGCUUUUGUAUGCUACAAAAAUCUCUCUUAAUAGCAACAGCAGCAGAGAAGAAGGAGGUAGGAGGUCCCUUUCCAAGACAGGCAGUGUAGACAAACAAGAAAAACCUGCUGAGCUUGUAAAUGAGGACUUGGAGGAGGAGCUGUAGCAUUAAUUUAGCCAUUAAUUCACUUCUUAAAAAUUUCCUCUUUCCUAUCUUCCACUUCAUGUGAUAUUUAGCAGGAUUUGGGUUACAAAUUUAACAUUACAUUGCAGAGAUGUGCUUUCCAUCACGACACCCAGAAAGAAGUUAGAACUUUAAAAUUACAUGCUUGUGUGGCAGCAGUGCUUCUUGAUUUGUUUCUUGUGAAGCUGUGACAAAGAAGUGCCCACUUCACUCUUGGGCCCCAUUCGUGGCUGCCAAAUCCCAGACUGCCUUCUGCAGAGUGCAGCUAUGACUCCACCACUGGAGGCCUUGCUUGCCAGAUGCAUCUCGUUGCUGUUUGUGAUGGAUCCAGGGAAAUGUGCCCUCAGAACUCAGCUGCUGAUUCAGCAUUUGUUUGUUGUUGGGAAGAACUUCAAGUCUCAACCGACGCUCGUAAAACAACUUGGCUCCAGUAAAUCAUACUGCCUUUUUGUGGAUGUUGAAGGUCAAUAGAAUGACAUGAGUAUACACACAGCUAAGAAACCAAAGCCCCCAGCAGAGAUUUUCUCUGUCUGCAUAUUGUUGUACUUGAGUUCCUUGUCCUCUUUUGGCCGUGAUUGAGGAACAACUUUAAGUGCAUGGUUAAGGACUUUCCUGAAUUAGUGCCUAGAUUCCCUUUUAUGCAGUUAAAUUUUUUGAUAUUAUCAAGAUCUUCUCCAGUCUGUAAUCAAGAGUGUGUCAAGGACAUAAAGAAUUGAGCAGAACUGAGACCAGAAUCAUGCAUCCAGUGUCCCUUGCCCAACCCGAAUGCCUCCAGAUACUUUACAAACUAGCAAGCUACAUGCCUUGAAGGGUACAGUGAUUCAUUAUAAUAGAGGUUAAAAGCAGAACUUUAGUUUACUUCAGUCCAAUCUUAGGGAGCUAAGAGGAACACAGUCCUUUUCUUUCUUCCUUAUCUCUGAAGAACAUCAAAUUGAUACUUAUAUCUCCCUCUUAGGAGAAACAGAAUUUAAAGCACUCCAGUUUGUAAAUGUCUUGCUCGUUUCUCUUCAAAGCUUCCUGAAAAUCCAGAGAGGAAGGAGUGCUAUCCUCUCCUGCUUUAUAACUGCUUCAACAAGGCCAGGCCCCACAGUUCACCUGCAUCUUACAGCCAUUGAGGAGGGCAGUUACACAAAGGGGUGACAACUCCUGCCCUCUCUGCAGCGGAACAGAGCCCCUCUAGUCUGUUUUUGAGCAUGUUACAACUACUGUAUUAAGCCAUCAUUUGAUCAUACACCAUUGGCUUUUGUAACCAGGCUCUUGCUUCACUUUCUUUCUGCCAAUAAAGAGGUUCCUGUCAUUGUGUUACUCUGCCGUGUGCAGCUUUGGAGGAAGGAGAAGGUGUAAAGGGAAGAAGGAUAUCUUGAGGUUUGCUGUUUGGAGUUGGCUCUGUCUUGUAUUUCACUAUGUAAGCAAACUUAUGCACGGUUUUCUGUUCAGGUUUUCAGGCAGAGCAGUUCAACAGGCAAUUUCCUGUACUAAGUAGUGUUAUAAUUAGGAUUGCCACUGGAAUGAAACCCAGUGCUCCCAUAUUAUUGUAUUACACCAUGUUAGCAUUUAAUUGUUACAUCUGAGAGAUGCACGCCCAUAUUUUGAGUGGGUAACUUCUUAUACCCUGCUUUUUUACAUCCAGGCUUUAAAUUCCCUUUAUUAUUCCUCUGUAAAUGUGUUUAUGUUCACAUGUGUAAUGGUAGAGGACAACAGCAAAUCAUGACAGUCUUUUGUGAUUAUUUGUUAUCUGUACAAAGGCAUUCACACAAUACAUCCAAAUCUUGGUUCAAGUUGAGCAGGAGCAACAAGAGAAAAUGUUUGGAUUUCAUGAUAAAGGGACACAUGAAUCUUCAAAUCCAGCUGUGCAAAUGGAAGAAUCCUCUCAGGUCUUGCUCAGAAACAUCUAUCAGAUGAACCUGGCCAAGAACCACACCAAGUUUAUGGGAUCAGACUUUCUACUUCCACUCCAGUGAAAAGUCACUUUGACAGUGGUGGUGCUAUUCCUGACCACUGUAUUAUUCAUGCUUUACAUGAUUGGUCUUUAGGCUUGCAGAGUAAAAAGGGGAUGCUGGAGAGAAUAAAAGUAAUAACAGCCUGCAAACUACAAGAAUGACAUGUCUUAGGAGCUGCUUGUCCGCAUAUCAUUUCUGGUUGUAGGCAAGAGCCACUCAAAUUCAUUAAGAGCAAACGGAAGUCCUUCAGCCCCAGAUUCCUGUCAUUUUAUUUGAAGAGGAGGCCUCUGGCAUGUAACCAGAUAUCUUCCGGGUUUUUCAGCUUGCUGAUCUUUGCCUUCAGACUUCUGGCCAGUAUUAAUUUACAUAGGCCUGAAACAAGCGUGGCGCUAUCCGUCUUCUUGAGUUACAUGCAAGGAACACCAAUAAACUUCCUGAUGUAACUAAUGAAGGAAAUUGGGAAGGAAGGAACAGUCUAUCAAUUAUCAAUUGGAUAAAAGUUGCAGGAAUUGGGCAAAUUAAAGUAUAUGAAGCAAGUACUUCAAUAAUAAGAGCUGAGACUCAAGAGGAAACUGUGUGCAUUUCAACAUACUGAGCACAGAUGCAUUUGCAAUGUGGCAGCAGAAGGGAAAAAGAAGAACAGAGAUGGAGAGCAUAAGGGCAAGGGCAAGCACAUUUCAGAAAGAAAAAAGAAAAUGGUGAUUUGUUCCUAGAUGGGAGAGAUGCAGAUCUGCCACAUUUCAUAACAUGUGGAAAUGAAGCCGCACAUUUCUGGUGCCAUUUGUUUACAUUGUUGGUUUUUGUUUGCAUUGUUUGUUUGUUUGUUUGUUAUGAGCAUUCUGAUACCACCCCUUUUUUGCUCUGAUCCCCAAUUAAAUGAAAAUUCAAAAGUCA
ensembl:lncRNA